CCCAAUGGCCCGGCGUGAGGGGCGCGAUGGUGUCCGGGGGAGUUGUGUGUUUGCACUCAUACAGGGGUGCUGGCGGUGCUGGUACUAACAGGGUAGCUCCAGCGUCGGAGCAGAGGCUGCGCGGAAGGCAAAGGGAGCAAAAUCAGAUCCCAGCCGCAGGGUUCAGGUUGUCGACAUGUAGGUCGUGUCUGUGACCUGGUUCAUAGCGACCAAAUACCCGAGGACAGCUGUGCUGGUGACGCACUGGCCCCAGAUCAGCAUGUGGCCUUUUUUUACUGUCACUAGAGCUAAGAAGGGGCUGACACCGCGCUCUCAGGGACGGCUCAUCUCCCAGGGUCACAGUCGAUCUGGGAAAAGCCCCUUGACCUUUCCUCUUUGCUGGAGAAGGAGCUUUGAUCUCCAGUGCUGCCUGGCCUUUUCCCGACACGCCAAGUCCACUUCACUGGGGGCAGGGUUUGAGUUACGCAUUGAAGAAUGGAAUUAAUGUCACAUCUGAAAUCUUCGUCUGUAACAGCAGGAUCAUGUGGCAGUAAAAUAAUACAAAACAAUUGUUCCUUAAUAUUUGCAUACAACUCCCCAGUUGAAUUUUAUAUGCAUAUGUUUACAGAAACAGACAUGUAAACUCUUUUUCAUGGGAGGGAAGAUCAAAUUCCUCACAAGAAAUCUGUGCACUUAGUUUAAUAGACAGAGGAAAAUACUUUAGCUUGUCAAUAGACUGUGUUUUUUAACUUUAUCUCAUUUUUGUCUUCCUAGUAUAUAUGUUAUCCCUAGUUAUGAUUCUACUCCCCCUGUACUUUUUGUUUUAUUAUUUUAUUGCUCCCUGUUUUAUUAUUUUAUUGGGGGAGUUAUUAUGUUAUUUUUCCAUGAAACACAUUCUGGUUUACUGCAGUGAUCAAAUGUUGGCAUAUGAAAUAUGAAAUGAAGCAAAAUAUAGACAUGAAAUACCAGCAAAUAUAAUGACUUUGAUUUUUCCUGUCCUUGCUAAAAAUUAAAAUUUAAGAAUUUGCCAUUUGCUUUUGACUUUUUAAACUUGGUUUGCCUGCAAGUUGCAGAUGAGCCACAGAAGUGAAAAUAUAAUACAAAUUUGUUUAAACCAUCAAACCUGUAGGAUAGCUUUUGUUUUGUUCCACUUUCUUCCUGAGGCCACUAAUUCGUGACAAGCAGGAAUCUCAAAAUUAACUCUCUGCAAUAAAAUCUGGGUCAGGAAGCUCUCUGCAGCAGGCAGUUAUUGCAAUUUAUAAGGUCACUAUUUCUAUUCCUACAAGAUACUUUAUUUAAUCUGUUAGUGUGCUGAACCUGCUUAAUAUAAGUAACUCGAAUAUCCUUUGUGAGUAGUCUGAAUAGGGAAAUAGUCUACUAAGAACAAUUUCUGUUGUUUGCAUUAAUUUUCUUUACAGCAACUUCUUUUCUUAAUGUUUUCCCUGGUAGUUAUAUGCAGUAAGGUAUGAACAAAUAUCUUGCAUAUUCAGUUUAGCUGUGAACAAAGGUAAUAUUGUAGCUGCAGGAAAUACAGGAAGCGUGUUAGCUUCCCCAUUUGUUAAAAGGACAAAGUUCCAGUAACUCAAAACCUGGGUGUUUUUCAAAUCAAAACAAACUUCUACAAGAAUUUUGCACAUCAGAAGCACAACUGAGUUUUUUUUACUCAGAUGAGCUUCUAAAAGAAGCAUGUCUCCUUCAUAAUUCAGAUUUGUUUCUUGCUUUGUAUGAUGGUUAUGUAUUACAGGCGGUUCUGAACAACAUAAAUUUCCAUUCUUGCUUAUAUCUGUGAAGUAACUACUGUGGUAGUCCUGAAUGUUGAGCAAGAAAGCUAAGUUUUAGGCACAAAUGUAACAAUAUAUGAUGGUUCAUCAUCAGCCAAACUGCAGGUGAGCUAGGCAGGUGCAAAUUGUAACCACUUCAUAUAAUGCGUCCAUCUAUCCUGUCUUUAGCAGUGUUCUCACUUUAUUUCCUCUCCAGACCACUGUUUCACCCUCCUUCUGAAACAUGUGACAGUUUUAAUUGCAGGUGUCAGAGAACAAUGACUCUGAAGGACAGUGCCAAAUUCUGAACUGCGGUACUCAUCAGAGCGGGUCUCAUUUCUGCUGAUUAGAUAUUUUAACUUUCCUCUUCUGAACUGCCCUGGGGCAAGUUUUAAAAAGGCAGUAACAGCACUUGCAGUUGCUUGGUCACAGUAAUGUUUUGCUGACUGUGCUUAAGAAAAUGGAGCUGCGUUAACAUUCUGCUUUUUUCCACAACAGAUGGGUCCAGAAGAGUGGAAUGAAUGAAGCCUGGAUUCCUGUCCAUUUGCCUCCUAAUAGCUCUCCAUUGCAAUCAGCUGUCGCCUCAUGUUUCUUACGUCCUCACCCCUGCUGGAGACACAACGUGCCGUACUUAGAGCUGUGUUCCUGGUCAGCCAGCAUGUGUAAUAACUGGCCAUGUUGCUGAUGUCUAAUGGAAGUGCUCUGCCAAUGUCUUGCUCAUGGGCUUUCAGAGGAAACAUAGGAUAUCUGAAUUGAGAGAGACCAUCAGGGAGAUCUGGUGACAGCAACCAGGGGCAGGAAAGGAGGAGGAACUGAUAAUUCCCCCAUGUGAGGACCAACAUCUGAGUGCAUUGUGAUCAGGACUGUGAUCAGAAGGGAAGCAAGGGACACCUAACCCUGGAACUGCCUGUCUCUUCUCCAAAUGUGAAAGUUGACUUACAGACUGACAUUGAGCAGACAGACACUACUGUAUCCCAUCUUUGGCAUAGUGAAAAUAUGUGCUAAGGAAGCUGUUGCAAAACAGAAAGGCUCAUUCUUCCUGGCCCAGAAAAAAGCCAUCUCAUGAUUCUGAGUGUGGCAGUGG